GCGUCAAUUCUUGGUCGGUUCUCUUGCCGUUCUGUUCCGCCCUUCUCCCCUUGCCGGCCUCCUCUUUCGCCUUCUGAUGGCAGCAGAGAAGGGUUUCGAAGACUUCGGCGAUGUCUUCGGGGAAGCGACGCCGGAGUGGGAUUCUGCGACCGCUACCACCGCUGCCGUGCCCCUCUUCCCCUCCCUCUUCUACGCCUACGCCCCCGACCCGUCCCGCGUCGAAGUCCUCGCCACCGACUUCCACUCCUUCACCUUCGCCCGCGUCCUCACGGUGCAUGACAUCGAAGACCUCAGAGAUGACAUUGGAAUUGGUGGCUCAUGGUCUGAAUUUGUUGACUACCUCAAAUCAUCUCUGUCUUCCGGAGAUGUUAAGCUUAUAUUGGGUGGUUUGCAAAAUGUAGGCUCUGGGAACGUCCAUGCAACCUUAAUUGCUCUCAAGUCAAAGGGAUUGCCUCGCAUAUCUCUGUCUCUCAACAUAGUCUCAAAUGUGCCAGCUAGUGAUGCAAUGGGAACACUGUCUCUAGCACUUUUCAGGGCAUUUAAGAAAACACAAAGUGAUGCUGUGAAAGAACAUCAACGCUCGUCUCAAUUAAUGGAAUCCUUAUCGUCUGAAAGGGAAAAGAAUGAUAAUCUCGAAAAACAGCUUGAUUCUCUUUCAUUUCUAAGUAAACGGAAGGCAUCUAAGCCAAAUUUGGCGGUGAAGGCAUCCACUGCUUCUGAUGUCCUUCUCAACAACUUUGAAACAUCUGAUUCAGGACUGCAACAAUUUUCAGAGUAUAUUAUAUUGGAUUGGCAUGGUGUUUUGUAUAAUAUAUCUUUGGUAGCAAGAUUAAUUUAUACGAGGGAUAAACCUUAUGACGAAAAUUAUAGUUACCCGUAAGCCACUUUGGGUUACUGAACUUGUGAUGUAGAUGUCGCAGCUACAAAGGGUCCCCAAGUUACCAAAACUAGUAAGCGAGGUGCCCUGGUCUCUCGUAGGUCAAGAGUUAGAGGUGUUCUCUUGCAAGAUAUCAAGGAUACUGAUGACAACUAGGAUGCAGGAUUCCUCAAAAAGUUUCA